rnacentral:lncRNA from 1 species
CGGGGCGUCUCGGAGACCCUAGUCUUCACCCGGCCCACGAGCCUGGCAAGUCCACCGACCGAUCCCUAAGCCGGGUCUUUCUCUUGGAAACCUCGUCAGCAUCCUGCCUGACGUCUUAUGAGAUUUAUUAAAGCCCUAAGAACAACGAGGCUGAUAUCUGAGAUACUCAUUGAAGGCCCGGGAGAAUUAGGUACAGAUGAUGGCACUGUUGAAAAAUCACAAACGAAGCCAAUUUGAGCAAGAACUGUGUUGGUCCUUGGAGCGGGCUGGAGGCCCUUGGGUGAGAAAAACAGCCACAUCCAGGAUUGGGAGGAUUUACUACUUCCAAAGACAGAUAAAUUAAUAGAAAUUGCAAAAGAUAUAAAAGUAUGGGGUGGACAGGUUUAUUACUGUACACGGUGAUUUUCUUUUUUAACGUGCUGUAACUUGUAGCCAUUUUUAUUAAUGGGCCAAUCUAAACAGGGUUGAAAGAUUAACUGUGACUCCACCCCAAGUCACAAUAGGAUCCUGUACUUCUCUUUUUAUAGCUGUGAAGACUGGGAAUCAUUCUUGGCUCAGUGUAAUGUUUAUAAGGCAUGGCUCAUCUCAUUGAAUGAAAUUUUUUAAAAAAGAGUUUGAAGUUUGAGUUUAUGAUAGCAAUAAAAGUACUCUAUAUUCCUGGAUUAAAGUUGCUUUAAUUAAUGAGAAAAGUAAGCCAGCCAAAAGAAACUGGUGACAAUUUAAGAAGAGUAUUGAAAAACCACUGCAAUACUUGCCAGGGCCAUGCCACUCUACAGUUCAAACAUUUGCACACCCAAUUCGUUUAACCUUCACAACACUCAUGUGAGGGCAGCAUAGAGGCUGUCCUUAUUUUAUGGAUGAGAAAACCAAAGCUCAAAGAAACUAAGUGAUGGUCCAGGUUCUCAUAAGAACCGAGUGGUUGAGAAGACCUCUGGAACCAGCAGCCAUCCUAACUGCAUGGACUGAACUUUGAAAGACUAUUGCUCAGCACUCUUCACCUUAUCCAUUCAGAUAAGAUCACGAAGAUGGACGAAUAUGCUGAGCUGACUCAUUCCCCUCAGUAUAGAGCAGUCAUCUUCGUGGUGACAUUCAUCCUGACGAUGCUAAACAGGUUUGUACCACAUCUGGGUCCUAUCUUUCUGCUCAGAUGCUCAGCCGCUGUCUGGCCCCUGGACACAUAUGGCACUCACCUAUUUCCUAUUGGUCCAUGUGGUUCUCAGCCAGGGGUUUCCUCAUCUCACAUGCUCCUAAGUGUGCUGGUGGGGCUUGACACUCCUACACUCUGGGUAACUCUCCCUCCUUCGAGACCCUGCCUCACAAGUAGUCUGCUGUAUCCUCCAGCCUGGCUCAUGAUUACAGAAGAAUGUCUCCUGGACGUUCCAGGGGUUAAGGUAAUUAAACAAGGAGGCCAUUAGGCUGGGGUGGCUCUAACGCCUUGGUAGCCUAUGUAAGCAAACCAAAACCUAAGCCAGAGUCAACGUGCUCCAAUCUGAGAGAAUGAAACUCAAGAACAACCAUCACAAACACCCAACUAGGCUUUCC